GCCGGGCGUGGUGGCUCAUGCCUGUAAUCCCAACACUUUGGGAGGCCGAGGUGGGUGGAUCACCUGAGGUCAGGAGUUUGAGACCAGCCUGGCCAACAUGGUGAAACCCCAUCUCUA
rnacentral:SRP_RNA from 1 species